AUGACUGCACAUCCCUCCUCAACUCCUCAUCCACAAAAAUUCAAAAACAAACAAGUCAUUCAUCAUCGUUCCCUUGCGUCCGCCAUGGCCAGCGUGAGUUCUGGGUCGAGAGAUUGCGACCAGGGAGAGGCGAUACUGGAAGCGGGAGCACGAGAGAUGUCCCGCCUCACCGCGAUAGCAGCCAACAUGUCCCGCCGCACGGCCGUAGUAGCAGAGAGGUCCCACCGCACCGCCGAAGCAGCAUGGAGGACCCGCCGUGCCGUCGAUGCAGCAGACUGGUCCGGCCGCAUCGCGGAAGCAGCAGAGAUGUCCCACCGCGCCAUGAAUGCAACAGAGAUGUCCUCCCUUGCCGCGGCUGCCUGGGAAAAUGCCUCGCGGGCAGGCGAGGACUCUUACAGGCGCAUGCAUGCCCUCGUCCAUAGGCAGAUGGAUCAGAUCUCCAGGUGGGCAAGGUUGCAGGAUGACAUGCAAGCCUUGUUUGAACAGUCUACCGACGUCAUCCGGCAACUAAAUGAGAGCAAUGCAAAGCUCUGGGCCGUGCGCGACCUGCUAAGGACGAAGAUCGUCGAAAGUGCAGAGCAGCAGGAGCAGACCACUGCCUUGUUGAAGAGGACCAGCGUCAUUGUCGAGAAACUUAUGGACGAGAAUAACAAGCUGCACAUGAAGUGCAGAAGGCUGGUGGAGGAAUCCAUGGAUGCUCUCAAGAAGCAUCUUGAGGACAAGAAAGAGCUCGUCGCCGCUUGCCGCGGAGACUAG
rnacentral:rRNA from 1 species